rnacentral:tRNA from 1 species
GCUCCUAUAGCAUAAUGGUCAGUGCAGUAGGUUUUCAACCUAAAGAUUAGGGUUCAAUUCCCUGUAGGAGUACAA